UACGGAGGGUGCAACCGUUGCUCGGAAUUAUUGGGCGUAAAGCGCACGUAGGCGGUCCGACAAGUCGGGAGUGAAAUCCCUCGGCUUAACCGAGGAAGUGCUUUCGAAACUAUCGGACUUGAAUACCGGAGAGGGUCGCGGAAUUCCCGGUGUAGAGGUGAAAUUCGUAGAUAUCGGGAGGAACACCAGUGGCGAAGGCGGCGACCUGGACGGAUAUUGACGCUGAGGUGCGAAAGCUAGGGGAGCAAACAGG
rnacentral:rRNA from 1 species